rnacentral:rRNA from 1 species
GCAGUCGAACGGCAGCACGGGCUUCGGCCUGGUGGCGAGUGGCGAACGGGUGAGUAAUGCAUCGGAACGUGCCCAUGUCGUGGGGGAUAACGUAGCGAAAGCUACGCUAAUACCGCAUACGCCCUGAGGGGGAAAGCGGGGGAUUCUUCGGAACCUCGCGCGAUUGGAGCGGCCGAUGUCGGAUUAGCUAGUAGGUGAGGUAAAGGCUCACCUAGGCGACGAUCCGUAGCGGGUCUGAGAGGAUGAUCCGCCACACUGGGACUGAGACACGGCCCAGACUCCUACGGGAGGCAGCAGUGGGGAAUUUUGGACAAUGGGGGCAACCCUGAUCCAGCCAUGCCGCGUGAGUGAAGAAGGCCUUCGGGUUGUAAAGCUCUUUCGGCCGGGAAGAAAUCGGCGACUCUAACAUAGUCGCUGGAUGACGGUACCGGACUAAGAAGCACCGGCUAACUACGUGC